rnacentral:rRNA from 1 species
UAAGGAGGAUGCGAGCGUUAUCCGGAUUUAUUGGGUUUAAAGGGUGCGUAGGCGGAUUUGUAAGUCAGCGGUAAAAAUGCGGUGCUCAACGCCGUAUCGCCGUUGAAACUGUGUCCCUUGAGUGCGCGAAGGGUAGGCGGAAUGCGUGGUGUAGCGGUGAAAUGCAUAGAUAUCACGCAGAACUCCGAUCGCGAAGGCAGCCUACCGGCGCGCAACUGACGCUCAUGCACGAAAGCGUGGGUAUCGAACAGG